rnacentral:ncRNA from 2 species
GCGUUCGAGGAGCGUUGCAGCCCUUGCGCCUGUCCCGCAGGCCCAGAGGUGAGGCUCGAACCCCAGGGCGGCAGGCCCUGCCUUCCAACUGCGCUCACCCACC